rnacentral:lncRNA from 1 species
GCCGUUGGAGCCACAAUGUCUACGGUACGAUACAUGACCAUACUAUACUUUACGUAGUCUACAAAGCCUCUAGACAAAAAACAUUAUCUUACAAGGGUCGGGACAGGCCCCGCCUCAUGAUAAGAUACUAUACAAUACAAAAAGAUAUGAUAAGACUCAAAGCCCCGAAGCAACCUGGAGCUCAGUGACUGCAGUUGAUAUCCUGUACUCUUACUGGGGAGGUUUAUUAGCUUCUGUACCUGCAGCAUGGAAUGCAGGUCCCCCAAGAGGGACGUCAGUACGAAAUAAUGUACUGAAUAUGUAAGGCAACAUGUACUAUAUAUGAGAUAAAAACUCAAAUGAAACCAUGUACUGCUGUAGGGUAAAAGACCACCUUUAUGAAUAUUGUGGAGUCAUGUAUCUUAUAACAAUUAUGUUACUUUACUCUUAUUGCUUGUAUAAUCUGUGCACAGCAUGUAAUACAGAUGACCAGCUGAUCAGUGGUAAAUCUAUAUCAGGAUCGACCCAUGCUAGGCUUUCCUUUCACCCCUGGGAUACCCCCUGGAAUGCUGGGAUUGACCCAUGCUAGGUGAUUCUUUCACCCCUGGGAUACCACCCAUCAGAAGCAACUGUAGACAUAAAUCUUCUUAUUACUUUUGAGAUGAAUCUUUGGUGGUCGUAACAUUUGAGCUAUAAGACUAUAAGCAUGACAAAUGACAAGUAUGUGUCCAUGUAACAUCAUAUCAUAAUGAAAAGAGUGGGUUGUACAAUUAGUGAAACAUGUAGGACAUAAACAACGUAUGAACUUUAUUUAGCUAAAAAGAAGACUCAUAUGUCAUGGUACCCAAUGUAUGUAUGCAGCAGUGACAAUGCUCGAAUCUGGACACACAAGUACAUGUUAAAGAGUGGAGUGGUUAUGUCAAAGUUUGUAAAGAUCUCUAUGUGCCAAUGAAGACUUUGGAUUCCAUGCCAAAUAAUAAGAGAUCGAAUAGCCUUACAUACCUCGACAUAUCAACUUGUUUUUACGUCGAAAUGACUUCUUUUCUUCCAACUAUUUAUCU